GUGCGCGUAGCUCAGCGGUAGAGCACCUGACUUUUAAUCAGGGGGUCGAGGGUUCGAUCCCCUCCGCGCAUACCA
rnacentral:tRNA from 1 species